CUGAAUUUGCCACCUAUUUGAACUAUUGCCGUUCUCUUCGGUUUGAGGAAAAACCUGACUAUUCAUAUUUGAGGCAGCUACUGAGAAAUUUGUUCCAUAGACAAGGGUUUACUUAUGACUAUGUCUUUGAUUGGAAUAUGCUAAAAUUUGGAGGAAACAGAAACCAACAGGAGCAGCAGCAGGAAGACCGAAAAGACCGGCAUCACCAACACCUUAGUAAUGCUCCUCGAGCAGUUCUUCCACCACCUACAACAGCCAACAGUAACAGACAGCGUGGAAUUCAAGACACCAUAAGUCCUGCCACGGGGCUGUAGAAAUUCAUCAGAAAG